rnacentral:rRNA from 1 species
AGUCACUGACAUUAGAUACCCCGGUAGUCCCAGCCGUAAACUAUGCUCGCUAGGUGUCAGGGACGGUGCGACCGUUUCUGGUGCCGCAGGGAAGCCGUGAAGCGAGCCACCUGGGAAGUACGGUCGCAAGGCUGAAACUUAAAGGAAUUGGCGGGGGAGCACUACAACGGGUGGAGCUUGCGGUUUAAUUGGAUUCAACGCCGGAAAUCUUACCGGGACCGACAGCAACAUGAAGGCCAGGCUGAAGACUUUGCCGGAUUAGCUG